UACGUAGGGUGCGAGCGUUGUCCGGAAUUAUUGGGCGUAAAGGGCGCGUAGGUGGUUGAGUAAGUCAGGUGUGAAAGCUCUGGGCUUAACCCAGGAAUUGCAUCUGAUACUGCUCGGCUUGAGUACGGUAGAGGAGGGUGGAAUUCCCAGUGUAGCGGUGAAAUGCGUAGAUAUUGGGAGGAACACCGGUGGCGAAGGCGGCCCUCUGGACCGAAACUGACACUGAAGCGCGAAAGCUAGGGGAGCAAACGGG
rnacentral:rRNA from 1 species